rnacentral:tRNA from 1 species
GGCAGGUUCUACUUGGAGUGAAGGUGGGUUGCUAACCCGCCCGAGUGGGUUCGAAUCCCGCACCUGCCG